rnacentral:rRNA from 1 species
GACAGAGGUGCCGAGCGUUAGGCGGAAUCACUGGGCUUAAAGCGCGUGUAGGCGGGACGGCACGUCGAUCGUUGAAAGCCCCCGGCUCAACCGGGGAAUGGGCGCCGAUACGACCGUCCUGGAGGAACGUAGGGGGACCUGGAACUUCCGGUGGAGCGGUGAAAUGCGUUGAGAUCGGAAGGAACGCCCGUGGCGAAAGCGAGGUCCUGGACGUUUUUCUGACGCUGAGACGCGAAAGCCAGGGGAGCGAACGGG